UGGAUGUAUCGCCACUGGCUCUCCUGUACCGGCUGACCCGUCAGAUGGACGUUAUCAACUGUCAGCUGAGCCUCAUCAAACAGCCACUGAACCACAAACACCGGCACUGAGAACGGGGCGAGAGACACAGACACAGAACACUAGAGGGCAGUGUGGACUCACGUACUCUUCAGUGUUGGAUGAACCUUAUAGCCAAAGAAGCAGUUCCAGUCCUCACCACCAUGGGCUUCACUGCAGCGCUCUGGAACCACACUGUGCCAGUACCUGCAAACACAAAGCACGCUGAUGGUGUCGAUGCAGUCGCUGCAGCGGUACUGUUUAUUAUCCAGAAACCAGCCUGAGUCUGCCAGCCCGCGGACCUGAACAGAGCCGUGACCCAGAUCCUUCAGCAGCUCCGACACACGGUCCACGUUCAACAGGACGCCUGUCCCGCCGGCGCUGUCAAGCAAAAGUUCAGAUCUUCUGAGAUUCAGUGAGUGAUUCUGUGAUGGACAGUGACUCAAUCCUUGUGAGGUUUGAACCUACAACCUUUCAGUUUCCCACCCAGCAGAUGUUUAACCACUACACCGCACGUCUACAUCUAAAGCCAGACAUGCAUUGAGGAGAAACCAUCACUAACCCAGCAGCUGUGAAAUCCAGAGGAAAACUCUCUGGUGUGUCCGUCCGGCGACUCUGAGUCCGCUGACCCCGAACCCUCCUGCCCUCCACGGACCCCAGCAGCAGCAGAACCAGCAGAACUCUGAUCAUCUCGACGGUUCUGAU